rnacentral:rRNA from 1 species
UACGUAGGGGGGCAAGCGUUGUCCGGAUUUAUUGGGCGUAAAGAGCGUGUAGGCGGCCAAGCAGGUCCGCUGUGAAAACUCGAGGCUCAACCUCGAGACGUCGGUGGAAACCGUUUGGCUAGAGUCCGGAAGAGGAGAGUGGAAUUCCCGGUGUAGCGGUGAAAAUGCGCAGAUAUCGGGGAAGAACACCCGUGGCGAAGGCGGCUCUCUGGGACGGUACUGACGCUGAGACGCGAAAGCGUGGGGAGCGAACAGG